UUCAACGCAGCCCCCGACACAGACACCUUUGCAGCCACCCACACAGCCACCAACACAGCCUCCAUCAAAACCACCGUCACAGCCUCCACCGCGGCCUACAUCGCAGCCACCGUCACAGCCUCCAUCGCAGCCUACAUCACAACCACCGUCACAGCCUCCAUCGCAGCCACCUUCAAAGCCUCCAACGCAGCCACCUUCAAAGCCUCCAACGCAGUCGUCACAACAAGCCAACGUUGCUUGUAAAUCAACUCCUUACCCUAAACUCUGCCGCACAAUCCUCUCCGCCUUCAAAUCCUCACCGUCUGAUCCAUACCGUUACGGAAAGUUCACACUC
rnacentral:lncRNA from 1 species